UCUAAAGAAAAUCGUUCUUAAUUGGAUAUGACACAAUGUCGGCGACACGGCCGACUUGCAUUUAAAUUCGCGAAUAAAAUUGACCUAAGUUAACUAUUAUGCAUGCACGCGUUUAGUAAGAUCCGAAAUUAAUCUAAUUAACGAUUUUGACUCGAUCUCAUAAUAGAUGUGAUUUUUAUAAAUUUUUAUGUAACAGGCAAUCCAGUGAUGAUGUGUAAAAAUGUAUGAAAACAGUGUAUCAUAACUAGUGGACCCAAAUUUGAAUCUGAUUAUCAUAUAUAUUUUCUUAGGGACUUAGUCUACAAACAUAAUAUUUCCACUAUAGUAGAUUCGAAUCCAACCCGAAGUGAAUUAAUAACGUUACAUGCUCUAUUUUGGGUUCUAAUCAAAUUCAAAUUUACUGUAGUUGAAAAUGUUAUGUUAUAAGGUUAUAUUAAAUCUAAGUACUUAUAAAAAGGUGAAAAUUUUUCUCAGACUUUUUAUAUUAAAACAUUUUUUAGAAAUACUGAGUAAAGUCUACAUUUUUCCAUAGAAUUUUUUAUGUAAAUUUUGAAAUAUUUCCAUUGUAUAAUUUAAAAAAAAAAACCUUUUUCAGAUUUUUAGAAUUUCCAAUAAAAUUUAAAAAAAUUUUUCAGAUUUUAUAAGAAAUUAUAGUUACUUCUAGGCAUUUCUAAAAAAUGCUCCAAUUCUUGUAAAAAUAUAUGAGAAAAUAUGCGAAAUUUAUAAAUUAUACAGAAAAUUUUUGAAAAAUUUUGAAAUUUACAUAAAAAUUAAAAAAAAUUAUAUAAAAUAUUCUGAGAAAAAUUUUUAUCAAGGAUAAUUAAGCCUAAAGAAAAAAUAACUGAACAAUCUCAUAAAGCUCGAUACACAACAUUGGGUUUAGAGUAACAAUCUUGCAGAAAUGAUAGAGGAAUAGGUAAUGUCAGGAGACUGAUAUAGUCCCACUCGAUUCCACUUUUAUUACUACUUCGAGACAAUCCAAGAUUCACAGCUGGGAAAAAGAAUCAUUAGUUAACAGUAUAAAUGUAUUAUAUUUUAUCACAAAAUUAUGUUUCUACAAAGUUGUAUAUAUUUCAGUAUCAAGGUUUAUAAAUGCUUUGCACAUAAGACAUAUUUAAUUAAAAUGCAUAUUGAUGCUUACUUGACAACGACGUUCUUAUUGUAAUUACAUGACAGACAAAAAGUGUUUAGGAGUUACCGAAAUUGUGAGCCUAACGUGAUCGUGGGCCCGACGUCUAAUAGGUACGUCUCCCGAAAGGAGGGGGAACGUAAGAGCUCGCGCUACCGGCGAGAAGGAGUCGUGUAGAGAGAGUCGUGAAAAGAUAGUCGUAGACAACGCACGAGAGUCCUGCUCUAAUUUUAAGUGAAAUUGUAUUAACAUGACGCGAGCGACAAGCUGUUAGAAAAUGAGAGUGUUGGAAUAAACUUAUAAGACUUGUCAUCAUGAUGCAUCAUUCAUUAAGACGGAGGAAUUUAGAGCUCCCACGUCCGGAUUCGUUAAAUUUUAAAAUAAUUCGCCUUGUAAGAAGGUUCGACCCAAUAGCGGCGCGUGGAACUUUCGACGGCACGGCGUGAUCGCUGGGCGAGAGAGAGAGAGAAACGCUCGGAUGAGAACAAAAAGCUCUCGCGAUGGAUCCCUGUGGGAUUGCGAAAAAUAUAGAUGACUGGUUACGUGCAUCCGGCGAAGCUUGUUGCAAGGAUCAUAAAACAGUCACGUCCGACUUUCGGCAAACUGUUGAAUGUCUUGCCGGAGCUUAUGCAUACGUGAGAAUGUACUCAUAUCGCGAAUUGUAAACAUGUAACGCACGAUCGAGCGAUCUCAACUACGCAGCAUGGACAGAACGAAAAUCUAGAAACAACAGAAAUUUCACAAUGAAGAGUUACGUAAACUUGUACGGAUGUCGUAAAGGUGCGACCUGUUCUAGGAAUCUGCGUGAUUAAGCAAAGCAAUUAUUAGCAGUUUACGGAGGACACACAAUCCGUACGAUCUAUGACACGAGGGAUAAAUUGCAAUUUCGUCACUUUGUUACCUCGUGUUUGUGUCGUGCUUGCUGUGAAGUGAAACCCGCGCGGGAUGGGACACUGACUCUCGAGUAAUAGGUAAUUAAAUCGUCGUGGUAAGCGUUUAGUUAAUGAGUCUAGGAUUGUUAUGUAACGGUUAUCUCUAUGGCGUCCACGUAUAUAAGUGUGUAGUAUACACGUACGAAACAGUUCAAUUGCAAUCCUUGCAUCAAUCUAUGAUGUACUGUGAGAUAAUGACAGCUACAACUGGCAUGAAAAUAGCAUUGAUUUGGGAUCUGUAUCGAUAACAAUAAUUUAUUUAUAUAAAUACAGUGUAAAUAUAUACAUAUAUAUUUUUUGUACAUACAUAUAUAUUUGUUUAUAUUGAUAUAUUGUCUUAGCAAAAUCUACGUUCGUGCGUAUACGUAACUACGAUGAAACAUCAUUCGUUUCAAACUGUUGUUUCAUUAUUAACCAUAUUAUUUCCCCUACAAACUAUAAUUAUCUUAAAACUUACGAUUACUCCCUGUGUCCAAAAAAAAGAAUA